UUGUGCAUGCGUGAACCAAGCAAUGCAUUUGUGCCUUCUUUUUCUAUGUGUAUUUGCUCACCAUCUGUCAUGUUAAGUUGCGGACUAGCUAUUUAACAUUGUGUGCAUAGUUCAAACAUUUCCAUCUUUGAUAAAAUCUUCUUGAUCCAUGGUAGGUUGGUGCACCAGACACGACACCAGAAGUUUCACUACUGCAUAAGUGCGUCUUCAAGGUGACGAGGUGGACGGUAAGGUAUAUGCUUCUACUUGCCUCCGGUGCUUUCUAUUUGAUACAUCAGUACUUCAUAAGUUGGUCUGACUGUUUUCCCUCUCCGUAGUGAACUGCGGGAUGUGCCGUUGGCUGAUGAUGUGCUCUCCAUUAAAACCAAGAAGGCCAUGCGCCACUGAAACCAGAGAGGUCAGAUGUUGUUAUGUGCUCUCCCUUUUUGUACGCCUGUUUGAUCUUCUCUUUCUCACUUCAAUGACUCUUGCGAUGAGCAUCUUGAUUAUGUACGGGUUGGAAAUCGAUAUAUGCAGGACCUUAUCCUUUUGUUUGUGGAUGCGUGAAGAAAGGAUGGUUGGCUAAGGGGGUGUCUCUUCUAGGACAGUGUCACGUGGCUCUGUUAGCUUCGAUUUUAUGGCGCCCUGUUGUCCGAUAUACAUUUAUUUAUGGAUUGGACGCAUCUGGUUAGUUCAUGUUGUUAUGUUGUUCAAGAAUAAGCACAUGUUGCAGUUAGUAUGCUACUCUAUGUAACCUCUUUGUCCUUGGGAUUUCCUUUGCAGCAAACUAAAUGGAUUCUAAAUGCUACCUUGGUCAUUAUUCUUUGUACAAUGCAUGCAGCAGUCUGCGAGUGUUU
rnacentral:lncRNA from 1 species